GUGAAUCAUCGAAUUUUUGAACGCAAAUUGCACUCUCUUCGGAGAGUAUGCCUGUUUGAGGGUCAGUAUUAAUAAAAAUCGGUGUGUUGCUUCUUUCUGACGCUCCGGUGUUUGGGUCAUCUUUAUUACCUUUAGGUUUUAUGAGGCUUAAAAUUUACUUUUUUUGUGCAUUUUAGAUGUACAUAAACUCUUUUUUUUAUCGGUCUGUCUUUCUGUUCAAACUCCUCUUAGAUGUGAUCA
rnacentral:misc_RNA from 1 species